rnacentral:lncRNA from 1 species
CUCCGCCCGGCCGGCGUUCUUCUCGGCGACUCCGGGAUGCCGGCGGCGCCCGAUGCUGCCUCCCUCCGGCGUCCUGCGCGGAGCGGACGCAUCCUUCGUCCUCCGAGUGGCCAUGGCCUUUAAACUUCCCAGUCCUCGGCUGGGAGAGGGGUGCGCCAAGUUUUCAGCUGUGAGGUUCCCUUGCUCCUCUACCCCCGCCUCCCCUAAAGGCCUCCAAGGUGUCAAGCCUCUGGACACUGGAUGCGGCAACCCUCCCCCCUCCCCCCUCCAUACACAUGCCCCGGGCGAGGGAGUCGCGAGGCCACCUCCCCAGGCCAUCCCUUUUGUGAAUGACAGCAUCAGCGGAUUUUAAAAAAUGAGAGAAUUAAGACAACAAGGAAAUUAUAUGGACUGCCCAGAAUAAUACAACUGAUAGAGAGGAUUGGGGAGAAGAAAAGAGAUGGAAGAAGAGGAGAGGAGGAAAAAAGGAAAUUGAAGCAGAGAAGUAACAUAUAAUAAUCCUAGGCUUAAGCUAGAUUUAUUUUGGGAAAAGAUGAUUCUCUGUUCCUGAAAUGUUCUAAUUUCUUGCGUAUCUAACUAUCCACUGCUGAUUGUAAGGAUUGCAAUCGUCAAUGACAGGUUUGCUUGCUUGGUUCUUUCUCUGAUGAAUCCAUUUAAUUCUGUGGCCACUGUGACUUUCAUAGAAGAGCUGCCUCACAGUCGCAUGAGAAUACAUCAAUUUUUGUUUGGCUCAUACACAUCUUCUCAAAAUGACUUCAGUAGAGUAAGUAGAAGAACUUUAAUAGGAUUGGAAGAUCAAAGAUGGUGAGAAGAUUUAAGGAUAUCGUCAGUACAUCAAGAAUAAUAAAAUUAAACAUGUCUGAAAACAGAUGAUUGUAAGCAAUUUUGAUAGAGAUAGUCUCUUCCCCUCAAGUAACUUAAAAACCCUAAUUGGAUGAGCUGAUUUGGACAGUCAUCCCAGCCCCAGUGAAAUAAAUGUAUGGAAAGUAUAUAAAAAAUCCUUGUGAAACUUAGC